AGUCCUCACUCCCACUGCCUAAAAAUACUCCACUCCUUUAACGGCUGGCUCCUUAUCAUCAGGUUUUACCUAAAAGUCCUGCCCGCAUGUGCACUUAAUCCCACUCCAUUCAAUUAACCUAAUUAUUCCUUUAUCACCACUGGACAUUUACUGUGUUACCUCACACGUCAGAGGUCUUACACUCUUAAAGGUCAAAGAGGAUGGGUGUCAGUCACUGUAGCCCAGAGACAAGUGAGAAGUCUGGAACAGCAACAAGAACCCAACGGAUACUUGGUCAAGGAAGGAAAACAUGACGUAGGAACCUGGAGUUGCCAACACCACCUGCCUUGGAUCCCCAGAUGGUCCAGUGGGUCGUCAAAUGACUUGCAGGGAGAAAGUGAGGAUACUGUGGGAAAUUCUUUAAAAUACACAAACCAUGUGAAGCGCC